rnacentral:rRNA from 1 species
UACGAAGGGGGCUAGCGUUGCUCGGAAUCACUGGGCGUAAAGCGCACGUAGGCGGCUUGUUAAGUCAGAGGUGAAAGCCUGGAGCUCAACUCCAGAACUGCCUUUGAUACUGGCAAGCUUGAGUUCGGGAGAGGUGAGUGGAACUGCGAGUGUAGAGGUGAAAUUCGUAGAUAUUCGCAAGAACACCAGUGGCGAAGGCGGCUCACUGGCCCGAUACUGACGCUGAGGUGCGAAAGCGUGGGGAGCAAACAGG